rnacentral:rRNA from 1 species
AUUGAACGCUGGCGGCAUGCCUUACACAUGCAAGUCGAACGGCAGCACGGGUGCUUGCCCCUGGUGGCGAGUGGCGAACGGGUGAGUAAUACAUCGGAACAUGUCCUGUAGUGGGGGAUAGCCCGGCGAAAGCCGGAUUAAUACCGCAUACGAUCUACGGAUGAAAGCGGGGGACCUUCGGGCCUCGCGCUAUAGGUUUGCCCGAUGGCUGAUUAGCUAGUUGGUGGGGUAAAGGCCUACCAAGGCGACGAUCAGUAGCUGGUCUGAGAGGACGACCAGCCACACUGGGACUGAGACACGGCCCAGACUCCUACGGGAGGCAGCAGUGGGGAAUUUUGGACAAUGGGCGAAAGCCUGAUCCAGCAAUGCCGCGUGUGUGAAGAAGGCCUUCGGGUUGUAAAGCACUUUUGUCCGGAAAGAAAUCCUUGGCCCUAAUACGGUCGGGGGAUGACGGUACCGGAAGAAUAAGCACCGGCUAACUACGUG